CAGAACGAACGCUGGCGGCGCGUUUAAGCAUGCAAGUCGAGCGGCAAGGGCCUUCGGGCCCCUAGAGCGGCGGACGGGUGAGUAACACGUGGACCAAUCCGCCCCCCGGCCCGGGAUAGCCCAGGGAAACCUGGAUUAAUACCGGAUGAGACGGGACCCGCGAUGGCGGGAUCCGGGAAAGGCGCUGCGGCGCCGCCGGGGGAUGAGUCUGCGUCCCAUUAGCUAGACGGCGGGGUAACGGCCCACCGUGGCGACGAUGGGUAGCCGGCCUGGAGAGGGUGGACGGCCACAUUGGAACUGAGACACGGUCCAGACUCCUACGGGAGGCAGCAGCUAAGAAUCUUCCGCAAUGGGCGAAAGCCUGACGGAGCGACGCCGCGUGAACGAAGAAGGCCGUGAGGUUGUAAAGUUCUUUCGGGAGGGGGAACAACCGUGGCAGGGAAUGGCCGCGGGAUGACGUGAAUCCCGGAAUAAGCCCCGGCUAACUACGUGCCAGCAGCAGC
rnacentral:rRNA from 1 species